CUUUCAGAGAACACAGGGUUCCUGCAGGAAAUGGGGCAGUUUCACCUUCCUGAGGAGGGGCCUGGGAGGGGCAGCAGGUGGCCGGGUAGGGCCAGCCCAGCUGUGAGCCUGGCGUGGGAGCUGCCUAGGCCGGGCCCUGCCAGGGAGCAAGUCUGCAUCACAGAGGCCAGGGCACAAUGACCUCCCCUGGCAGCUGCUGGAUAUGUUCAACAACCGGCUGCAGGACGAGAGGGCCAACCUGACCACCUUGGCCGGCACACACACCAACAUCCCCAAGCUGAGGGCCGGCUUUGUGGGAGGCCAGUUCUGGUCCGUGUACACGCCCUGCGACACCCAGAACAAAGACGCUGUGCGGAGGACACUGGAGCAGAUGGACGUGGUCCACCGCAUGUGCCGGAUGUACCCGGAGACCUUCCUGUAUGUCACCAGCAGUGCAGGCAUUCGGCAGGCCUUCCGGGAAGGGAAGGUGGCCAGCCUGAUCGGCGUGGAGGGCGGCCACUCCAUUGACAGCAGUCUGGGCGUCCUGCGGGCACUCUAUCAGCUGGGCAUGCGGUACCUGACCCUCACCCACAGCUGCAACACGCCCUGGGCUGACAACUGGCUGGUGGACACGGGAGACAGUGAGCCCCAGAGCCAAGGCUUGUCACCCUUUGGGCAGGUGAGUGGGGUGGGAGCGGCCAGUCACCCCCGAGGAGAAGGCAGAGGCCCUGGAGGGUGACCAGAACAAUGCAUCUCCUCACGUGGGACCUCAGUGUCCUUGUCUGUAAAAUGGAUCUGGCAGCCAUCCCCCCAGGGUGGGUGCUGAGCCCUGAGUGGCCCCGGACUUCCAGCCAUGAAGGAUGAUGACUCACAUCUGGUCCAGCCCGUCCACCUCCGCAGCCCCGACCCUGGGGGCUGUGAGGGUGGACGGAGCCCUGUCUUCCCAGCGUGUGGUGAAGGAGCUGAACCGUCUGGGAGUCCUCAUCGACUUGGCUCACGUGUCUGUGGCCACCAUGAAGGCCACCCUGCAGCUGUCCAGAGCCCCGGUCAUCUUCAGCCACUCCUCGGCCUACAGCGUGUGCGCAAGCCGGCGCAACGUGCCUGACGACGUCCUGAGGCUGGUGAAACAGACAGACAGCCUGGUGAUGGUGAACUUCUACAACAAUUACAUUUCCUGCACCAACAA
rnacentral:sRNA from 1 species